rnacentral:rRNA from 1 species
UAGGGAAUCUUCGGCAAUGGACGGAAGUCUGACCGAGCAACGCCGCGUGAGUGAAGAAGGUUUUCGGAUCGUAAAGCUCUGUUGUUAGAGAAGAACGUUGGUAGGAGUGGAAAAUCUACCAAGUGACGGUAACUAACCAGAAAGGGACGGCUAACUACGUGCCAGCAGCCGCGGUAAUACGUAGGUCCCGAGCGUUGUCCGGAUUUAUUGGGCGUAAAGCGAGCGCAGGCGGUUCUUUAAGUCUGAAGUUAAAGGCAGUGGCUUAACCAUUGUACGCUUUGGAAACUGGAGGACUUGAGCGCAGAAGGGGAGAGUGGAAUUCCAUGUGUAGCGGUGAAAUGCGUAGAUAUAUGGAGGAACACCGGUGGCGAAAGCGGCUCUCUGGUCUGUAACUGACGCUGAGGCUCGAAAGCGUGGGGAGCAAACAGG